rnacentral:rRNA from 1 species
UACGUAGGGUGCAAGCGUUAAUCGGAAUUACUGGGCGUAAAGCGUGCGCAGGCGGUUUUGUAAGACUGUCGUGAAAUCCCCGGGCUCAACCUGGGAAUGGCGAUGGUGACUGCAAGGCUAGAGUUUGGCAGAGGGGGGUAGAAUUCCACGUGUAGCAGUGAAAUGCGUAGAUAUGUGGAGGAACACCGAUGGCGAAGGCAGCCCCCUGGGUCAACACUGACGCUCAGGCACGAAAGCGUGGGGAGCAAACAGG